rnacentral:tRNA from 1 species
GGGUUUACGGCGUUUCCUCUCGUUUACACCGAGAGGGUCGGGGGUUCGAGCCCCUCACCGCCCACCA